CCUACGGGGGGCAGCAGUGAGGAAUAUUGGUCAAUGGACGCAAGUCUGAACCAGCCAAGUAGCGUGAAGGAUGACUGCCCUAUGGGUUGUAAACUUCUUUUAUGCGGGGAUAAAGUGAGUCACGUGUGGCUUUUUGCAUGUACCUCAUGAAUAAGGACCGGCUAAUUCCGUGCCAGCAGCCGCGGUAAUACGGAAGGUCCGGGCGUUAUCCGGAUUUAUUGGGUUUAAAGGGAGCGUAGGCGGGUUGUUAAGCGUGUUGUGAAAUGUUGCGGCUCAACCGUGGAAGUGCAGCGGGUACUGGAAGGCUUGAGUGCAGUUGAGGUAGGCGGAAUUCGUGGUGUAGCGGUGAAAUGCUUAGAUAUCACGAAGAACUCCGAUUGCGAAGGCAGCCUACCGUAGUGUUACUGACACUGAGGCUCGAAAGUGCGGGUAUCGAACAGGAUUAGAUACCCCAGUAGUC
rnacentral:rRNA from 1 species